CAAUAGCGUAUAUUAAAGUUGUUGCAGUUAAAAAGCUCGUAGUUGGACUUCUGAUGUGAAAGAUCGGUCCACCGCAAGGUGAGCACUGAUUCUUCGCGUCUUCCUCUCGUAGUUGUUUCGCGCACUUAGUUGGGUGCGAGAUGAAUAUGGGACCUUUACUUUGAAAAAAUUAGAGUGUUCAAAGCAGGCAAUCGCUUGAAUACAUUAGCAUGGAAUAAUAGAAUAGGACUUUGGUUCUAUUUUGUUUGGUUUCUAGGACCGAGGUAAUGAUUAAUAGGGACGAGUUGGGGGUCGAUUAGUAUUUAAUUGUCAGAGGUGAAAUUACUUGGAUUUAUGAAAGACUAACUACUGCGAAAGCAUUUGCCAAGGAUGUUUUUCAUUAAUACAAGAACGAAAGUUAAGGGG
rnacentral:rRNA from 1 species